CUCAUGGAGAGUUUGAUCCUGGCUCAGGAUGAACGCUGGCGGCAUGCUUAACGCAUGCAAGUCGAACGGGAAGUGGUGUUUCCAGUGGCGAACGGGUGAGUAACGCGUAAGAACCUGCCCUUGGGAGGGGAACAACAACUGGAAACGGUUGCUAAUACCCCGUAGGCUGAGGAGCAAAAGGAGAAAUCCGCCCAAGGAGGGGCUC
rnacentral:ncRNA from 1 species